AAGUCGUAACAAGGUCUCCGUAGGUGAACCUGCGGAGGGAUCAUUACUGAGUGAGGGCCCUCGUGGUCCGACCUCCAACCCAUUGUUGUCCGACUCUGUUGCCUCGGGGGCGACCCGGCGCUUCGGCGCCAGGGGGUCCCCGCUGGUCCACACAACUCUGCAUCUUUGCGUCUGAGUAAACAUUAAAUGAAACAAAACUUUCAACAACGGAUCUCUUGGUUCUG
rnacentral:misc_RNA from 1 species